rfam:Streptomyces violaceusniger Tu 4113, complete genome.
UUCGGUGGUCAUAGCGUUAGGGAAACGCCCGGUUACAUUUCGAACCCGGAAGCUAAGCCUUUCAGCGCCGAUGGUACUGCAGGGGGGACCCUGUGGGAGAGUAGGACACCGCCGAAC